rnacentral:tmRNA from 1 species
GGGGAUGUCAUGGCUUCGACAGGAUAAAAUCAGCAUAUAUAAGCAGUAGUGUGGUAGACUAUAAAUACUUCUAGGUUUUAAAAAACGCAAACAAAAAAACUGAAGAAUUUGAAAUGCCAGCAUUUAUGAUCAACAAUGCAUCAGCUGGAGCGAACUUAAUGUUUGCUUAAUAACUAGUUAAUAGUUAUAGUGUUUCACGAAUUAUAGGUAUUUUAGGCUUUAUCUAUAACCGUAUUACCCAAGUCUAAUAGGAUUUAUGAUUGCAAUAAAUAUAUCUAAAACUUAAUUGCAAAUGAUUCUUAGCCUUUAGUUAAUUUUAGUUAAGAAUCAAAUUAGAAAAUUAACUAAACUGUAGAAAGUAUGUGUAGGUUUAUUUUGGACGCGAGUUCGAUUCUCGCCAUCUCCACCA